rnacentral:rRNA from 1 species
GACGUAGGGCGCAAGCGUUGUCCGGAUUUAUUGGGCGUAAAGAGCUCGUAGGCGGCUUGUCGCGUCGACUGUGAAAACCCGUGGCUCAACCAUGUGGUCUGCAGUCGAUACGGGCAGGCUAGAAUUCGGUAGGGGAGACUGGAAUUCCCAGUGUAGCGGUGAAAUGCGUAGAUAUUGGGAGGAACACCAGUGGCGAAGGCGGCUCACUGGACCGGUACUGACGCUGAGGCGCGAAAGCGUGGGGAGCAAACGGG